ACAACUGCUUUGCAACUAGAAUCUUUUAUCAGUCGCGUGAGCCAUUGUUGAGCAAUAUUGGUUUGGAAUUGAUUUAUGUCUUUUUGCACACGAAUACGAUCAAAUUUUGCUAGUUCAAACAGUUGCUAGUUUUAAGCGAAUUCAUGUUAGAAGAGAAUGUGUCUUUUUUUUUAAAAAAAUUUUAACAUUUAAUUUUUGUGACACAUCAAGUAGUUCAUUUAGGUUAUAAUUGUACAAAAGUUCAUGUUUUUCUACCUCCUCUACCAAUUUAAUGUUUAUUAACUGACCAUUCAUAGUGAAUGAUAAUCUAAUAACUAAUUACCUAUAUGAUAAUAUAAUGAUAAGAUAUAAAUUAAAUUAAUCAUUUAACCAUGAAACUGAAACUCAAAUUCGACCUGCGAGUACAGUUGCACGCGAUUAAUUGGAAACUGAUUAUAAAUCGGUUAAGUUUAAGUUGAUUAAUGAGGGGUUUCCUAUUAUGUAACAUAAUAUACAAGUCACAGAAUGGUUAUUUGUGCAACUGGUUUGUGAUCCUCAUUGCAGAACAGUCUCACCAUGGGCAGAGGGCCUUACAGUAUUUAUACUUGAAUUAUUUUUUGUAGAUUUGCUGAAUUUAUCAAAUAUUAGAUAAAGAACUCAAUGUUAAUAUUUUGUUAAUAGGUUACCAGUAAUAAUGUUGAUU